GCAUGACCGAAUGUACAGAGGCAUGUGACAGCACAGUGUGGAUGCUGUUGUAUUUUAAUCAGGUAAAACACAGCAAGAGGGGAGAUGAAGCUGGAGAGGAGGCUAAAAAUUGGAUCAUGCAGAACCUUGAGUGCUUGAUGCUUUCUUCCCCAUUCCAUGGCUGGGCCCUUGGAGUACCGAUGGCCACGAGCGACUCUUCUGCGACCUGAGCUGAAGCAUUUGGGAGAAGGAGUUCAUGGACUUGGAAGAGAACCCAGGGAUCCCACCCAGCAGAACUUCCAAUUUGCAAGAGCAUGCACAGGUGCUGAUUGCCAUCACUUCCAGUAACAGGGGUUCAUCCUGUUUUCCUGUCUUCCACCCCCCCAAGUCUUUUGAUUUCUGGAGCCACGCUGACUAUGCUGAAUCCAGCUCCCACACAACAGACAGCCUUUCGAACACGUCCACGACUUCCUUGACUCGCUCUUUUCAGGUGAAGAACGCCUUCCUCCCUCAACUAACCCUUAGGUGGUGCUGUUUUGAGAUCUUUCUCCAUCCUGACCUACAACCCUCCUCUACUUUUUUACCCUUUCUUAUUUACAGUGAAGGGCUUAAAACAGAGAAUAUCCUUUCCCCUGCCCUCUACCCCCAACACUGGCACAGGAUAUAUUUUUAACUUUCUCACCCUGGCCUUUAUGCUUCGAUAUGGUCAGCAUGUGGUGCCUUUAGCUUUAUCUUUGUCAGACCUUUGGCUCAUACCAAGCAUCAUGUUGACCAGCCUCUCAUACCCUGGCCUUUUCCAUGCAGCAAUACAACUGAGUUCUGUGAUGCGCCUAAGAGCGGGACUUUGUACUGACCUCAUUUAACUUUGUCUUGUUGGAUCUGGAUGGUCUUUCUAAGUAACCCACACAAGUAUCAAGAAAUAAGGACUGUCCAGAGCUGUUCCUUGAGGUGAAGUGUAGUCUCUGUUGUUCACCUAUUGUAGCAUACUGGCUUUUACUCAGAAAGCCCAAUUUGUGAUUUUUCUCACCUGCAAAUCUCCAACCUACUGAACUCCAGAUUCUGACCUUGUUUUCUGCUCAUAUGGCAGUGUCUUAGAAAUGAAGAGAGCUUUGGAGAGGGUAAAAAAUAGAGGAUAUAUUCUUCAACUCUUUUUCUUUCUUUGCUUUCUUUUAAGGGAUUGAAUAGUUUUCCCUCAAGAAUUAAGUCAUAGUCUUUCAAACUUAAAAUGUCAUUUAUUGGGACUUCCCUGGUGGUCCAGUGGCUGACUCUGCGCUCCCAAAGCAGGGAGACCAGCUUUGAUCUCUGGUCAGGGAACUAGAUCCCACAUGCAUGAGAAUUCACAAGCCACAACUAAAGAGCCUGCAUGCAGCAACGAAGAUCCAGUGUGCCACAACUAAGACCCGGAA